AGAAGGGGUCAAUACCCCCUUUGAUGACGGUACUAUUUGUAAGCUCCGGCUAACUCCGUGCCAGCAGCCGCGGUAAUACGGGGGGAGCAAGCGUUGUUCGGAUUUACUGGGCGUAAAGGGCGCGUAGGCGGCCACAACAAGUCACUUGUGAAAUCUCCGGGCUUAACCCGGCAGCGGUCAAGUGAUACUGUUGGGCUAGAGUGCGGAAGGGGCAACUGGAAUUCUCGGUGUAGCGGUGAAAUGCGUAGAUAUCGAGAGGAACACCUGCGGCGAAGGCGGGUUGCUGGGCCGACACUGACGCUGAGGCGCGAAAGCUAGGGGAGCGAACGGGAUUAGAUACCCCGGUAGUCCUAGCCUUAAACGAUGGAUGCUUGGUGUCUGGGGUGAUAAAGUCCCCGGGUGCCGUCGCUAACGCUUUUAGCAUCCCGCCUGGGGAGUACGGUCGCAAGACUGAAACUCAAAGGAAUUGACGGGGACCCGCACAAGCGGUGGAGCAUGUGGUUUAAUUCGACGCAACGCGAAGANCUCUUACCUGGGCUAGAAUGCCCCUGACAGCCUCGGAGACGAGGUCUCCCAUGGAAACAUGGGCGGGGAGCAAGGUGCUGCAUGGCU
rnacentral:rRNA from 1 species